rnacentral:rRNA from 1 species
UUCGAAGCAACGCGAAGAACCUUACCAGGCCUUGACAUGCAGAGAACUUUCCAGAGAUGGAUUGGUGCCUUCGGGAACUCUGACACGAGGUGCUGCAUGGCUGUCGUCAGCUCGUGUCGUGAGAUGGUUGGGUUAAGUCCCGUAACGAGCGCAACCCUUGUCCUUAGUUACCAGCACGUUAUGGUGGGCACUCUAAGGAGACUGCCGGUGACAAACCGGAGGAAGGUGGGGAUGACGUCAAGUCAUCAUGGCCCUUACGGCCUGGGCUACACACGUGCUACAAUGGUCGGUACAAAGGGUUGCCAAGCCGCGAGGUGGAGCUAAUCCCAUAAAACCGAUCGUAGUCCGGAUCGCAGUCUGCAACUCGACUGCGUGAAGUCGGAAUCGCUAGUAAUCGUGAAUCAGAAUGUCACGGUGAAUACGUUCCCGGGCCUU